CUUAAUACAUUGCAAGUCGAACGAACUCUGGUAUUGAUUGGUGCUUGCAUCAUGAUUUACAUUUGAGUGAGUGGCGAACUGGUGAGUAACACGUGGGAAACCUGCCCAGAAGCGGGGGAUAACACCUGGAAACAGAUGCUAAUACCGCAUAACAACUUGGACCGCAUGGUCCGAGCUUGAAAGAUGGCUUCGGCUAUCACUUUUGGAUGGUCCCGCGGCGUAUUAGCUAGAUGGUGGGGUAACGGCUCACCAUGGCAAUGAUACGUAGCCGACCUGAGAGGGUAAUCGGCCACAUUGGGACUGAGACACGGCCCAAACUCCUACGGGAGGCAGCAGUAGGGAAUCUUCCACAAUGGACGAAAGUCUGAUGGAGCAACGCCGCGUGAGUGAAGAAGGGUUUCGGCUCGUAAAACUCUGUUGUUAAAGAAGAACAUAUCUGAGAGUAACUGUUCAGGUAUUGACGGUAUUUAACCAGAAAGCCACGGCUAACUACGUGCCAGCAGCCGCGGUAAUACGUAGGUGGCAAGCGUUGUCCGGAUUUAUUGGGCGUAAAGCGAGCGCAGGCGGUUUUUUAAGUCUGAUGUGAAAGCCUUCGGCUCAACCGAAGAAGUGCAUCGGAAACUGGGAAACUUGAGUGCAGAAGAGGACAGUGGAACUCCAUGUGUAGCGGUGAAAUGCGUAGAUAUAUGGAAGAACACCAGUGGCGAAGGCGGCUGUCUGGUCUGUAACUGACGCUGAGGCUCGAAAGUAUGGGUAGCAAACAGGAUUAGAUACCCUGGUAGUCCAUACCGUAAACGAUGAAUGCUAAGUGUUGGAGGGUUUCCGCCCUUCAGUGCUGCAGCUAACGCAUUAAGCAUUCCGCCUGGGGAGUACGGCCGCAAGGCUGAAACUCAAAGGAAUUGACGGGGGCCCGCACAAGCGGUGGAGCAUGUGGUUUAAUUCGAAGCUACGCGAAGAACCUUACCAGGUCUUGACAUACUAUGCAAAUCUAAGAGAUUAGACGUUCCCUUCGGGGACAUGGAUACAGGUGGUGCAUGGUUGUCGUCAGCUCGUGUCGUGAGAUGUUGGGUUAAGUCCCGCAACGAGCGCAACCCUUAUUAUCAGUUGCCAGCAUUAAGUUGGGCACUCUGGUGAGACUGCCGGUGACAAACCGGAGGAAGGUGGGGAUGACGUCAAAUCAUCAUGCCCCUUAUGACCUGGGCUACACACGUGCUACAAUGGAUGGUACAACGAGUUGCGAACUCGCGAGAGUAAGCUAAUCUCUUAAAGCCAUUCUCAGUUCGGAUUGUAGGCUGCAACUCGCCUACAUGAAGUCGGAAUCGCUAGUAAUCGCGGAUCAGCAUGCCGCGGUGAAUACGUUCCCGGGCCUUGUACACACCGCCCGUCACACCAUGAGAGUUUGUAACACCCAAAGUCGGUGGGGUAAACCUUUUUAGGAAACCCCAACCCCCCCAAA
rnacentral:rRNA from 1 species